rnacentral:rRNA from 1 species
GACGAACGCUGGCGGCGUGCUUAACACAUGCAAGUCGAACGAUGAAGCCGGAGCUUGCUCUGGUGAAUUAGUGGCGAACGGGUGAGUAACACGUGAGUAACCUGCCCUUGACUCUGGGAUAACUGCGGGAAACUGUAGCUAAUACCGGAUACGACCCUCGGAGGCAUCUCCUGGGGGUGGAAAGAAUUUCGGUCAAGGAUGGACUCGCGGCCUAUCAGCUAGUUGGUGAGGUAAAGGCUCACCAAGGCGACGACGGGUAGCCGGCCUGAGAGGGUGACCGGCCACACUGGGACUGAGACACGGCCCAGACUCCUACGGGAGGCAGCAGUGGGGAAUAUUGCACAAUGGGCGCAAGCCUGAUGCAGCAACGCCGCGUGAGGGAUGGCGGCCUUCGGGUUGUAAACCUCUUUUAGCAGGGAAGAAGCGAAAGUGACGGUACCUGCGGAAAAAGCACCGGCUAACUACGUGCCAGCAGCCGCCGUAA